AAUACACCAUUAAAACGUCGCACAUAUAUCGACACACCUGCCUGGGUGCCCAUUACCGUUAUGUAAGGGGUUGGCUGGUGGGAUAUAUGGAGGCCUAAC
rnacentral:sRNA from 1 species